GACGAACGCUGGCGGCGUGCUUAACACAUGCAAGUCGAACGGAAAGGCCCUGCUUUUGUGGGGUGCUCGAGUGGCGAACGGGUGAGUAACACGUGAGUAACCUGCCCUUGACUUUGGGAUAACUUCAGGAAACUGGGGCUAAUACCGGAUAGGAGCUCCUGCUGCAUGGUGGGGGUUGGAAAGUUUCGGCGGUUGGGGAUGGACUCGCGGCUUAUCAGCUUGUUGGUGGGGUAGUGGCUAACCAAGCUUUGACGGGUUGCCGGCCUGGGAGGGUGACCGGCCACAAUGGGACUGAGAUACGGCCCAGAGUCCUACGGGAGGCAGCAGUGGGGAAUAUUGCACAAUGGGCGGAAGCCUGAUGCAGCAGCGCCGCGUGCGGGAUGACGGCCUUCGGGUUGUAAACCGCUUUCGCCUGUGACGAAGCGUGAGUGACGGUAAUGGGUAAAGAAGCACCGGCUAACUACGUG
rnacentral:rRNA from 1 species